rnacentral:rRNA from 1 species
GAUGAACGCUGGCGGCGUGCCUAACACAUGCAAGUCGAACGGAGUCCAGCCUUUAAGACCUUCGGGUCAAAGAGGGGAAGACUGAGUGGCGGACGGGUGAGUAACACGUGGGCAACCUGGCUCAUAGAGGGGGAUAACAGAGAGAAAUUUCUGCUAAUACCGCAUAAGCACACCCUGCCGCAUGGCAGAGGGUGAAAAGAGAAUCGCUAUGAGAUGGACCCGCGUCUGAUUAGCCAGUUGGCAGGGUAAGAGCCCACCAAAGCGACGAUCAGUAGCCGAUCUGAGAGGAUGAACGGCCACAUUGGGACUGAGACACGGCCCAAACUCCUACGGGAGGCAGCAGUGGGGGAUAUUGCACAAUGGGGGGAACCCUGAUGCAGCGACGCCGCGUGAGUGAAGAAGUAUUUCGGUAUGUAAAGCUCUAUCAGCAGGGAAGAUAAUGACAGUACCUGAAUAAGAAGCCCCGGCUAACUACGUG